GACGUAGGGCGCGAGCGUUGUCCGGAAUUAUUGGGCGUAAAGGGCUCGUAGGCGGUUUGUCGCGUCGGGAGUGAAAUCCACUGGCUUAACUGGUGGCUUGCUUUCGAUACGGGCAGACUGGAGGUAUGCAGGGGAGAACGGAAUUCCUGGUGUAGCGGUAAAAUGCGCAGAUAUCAGGAGGAACACCGGUGGCGAAGGCGGUUCUCUGGGCAUGUCCUGACGCUGAGGAGCGAAAGUGUGGGGAGCGAACAGG
rnacentral:rRNA from 1 species